rnacentral:antisense_RNA from 1 species
AAAACCCGGAAGGACCCAGCCGAAGGUUUUCUCCGGUUCGGGCAAGAGACGGGGUCCCGCUCUGUCACCCAGGCUGCCAGACUGGCGUACAGUGGUGCAAUCUCAGCUCACUGCAACCUGCACCUCCUGGGUUCAAGUGAUUUUCUUGUCUCUGCCUCCUGAGUAGCUGGGAUUACUGGCACACACCACCAUGCACUGGGAGACAUGAGACAUCAAUCAAUAUAUGUAAGCUGUACAUCAGUUUCGUCUGGAAAGAUGGGACAACAUGAAGCAGGGAGGGGGCUCCCAGGUCACAGGGAAUUUUCUGGUGGGCAAAUUGUGAGGGAGUUCCUUGUUCAAAAUGCCAAGAACCUGGAUGACUCAGAGUCAAGACCCUCCACCAGUAACAUAUAUUGGCGAGCCAGCCAGGAGCUUGGAACCCUCGGUGGACAGUGCCUAAGCACAGAGGCAACCACAGGUUUCUAACCAGGGCCACUCUCCGGUGAAACUGAAAGGUUUCUGUGUGAAAGUGCCUGACCACCACUGCCCGGUUCGGACCACUACAGGAAACACUCCAU